rnacentral:rRNA from 1 species
GCAGUCGCCGCGGUAAUACGUAGGUGGCAAGCGUUGUCCGGAAUUAUUGGGCGUAAAGGGCUCGCAGGCGGUUUCUUAAGUCUGAUGUGAAAGCCCCCGGCUCAACCGGGGAGGGUCAUUGGAAACUGGGAAACUUGAGUGCAGAAGAGGAGAGUGGAAUUCCACGUGUAGCGGUGAAAUGCGUAGAGAUGUGGAGGAACACCAGUGGCGAAGGCGACUCUCUGGUCUGUAACUGACGCUGAGGAGCGAAAGCGUGGGGAGCGAACAGGAUUAGAGACCCGAGUAGUCCCUGUCUCUUAUAC